AGGGCUAGUGGACUUGUUUAUCCCUGACGUGUGCAGAGGGUGUGAGCUGUGACCAGUCCAUACCGCAGUGUUGCUGAGGAGCGGAAUAGUUUCUACAGAGAGUCUGAGUGAGUUGCAUGCUUCACAGGACGGACAAUAUCAAGUAAGCAAAAUACUGAGAAAGAUGACACUGUGUCUGGAGGACCUCAGCCCAGGGAUUCUUGUACGGACCAGACUCAAGUCAAGAACUCAAGGAGCCCAACAGAUUCAGCGGAUAGAGG